GAUGAACGCUGGCGGCGUGCCUAAUACAUGCAAGUCGAGCGAACGGACGAGAAGCUUGCUUCUCUGAUGUUAGCGGCGGACGGGUGAGUAACACGUGGAUAACCUACCUAUAAGACUGGGAUAACUUCGGGAAACCGUAGCUAAUACCGGAUAAUAUUUUGAACCGCAUGGUUCAAAAGUGAAAGACGGUCUUGCUGUCACUUAUAGAUGGAUCCGCGCUGCAUUAGCUAGUUGGUAAGGUAACGGCUUACCAAGGCAACGAUGCAUAGCCGACCUGAGAGGGUGAUCGGCCACACUGGAACUGAGACACGGUCCAGACUCCUACGGGAGGCAGCGGUAGGGAAUCUUCCGCAAUGGGCGAAAGCAUGACGGAGCAACGCCGCGUGAGUGAUGAAGGUCUUCGGAUCGUAAAACUCUGUUAUUAGGGAAGAACAUAUGUGUAAGUAACUGUGCACAUCUUGACGGUACCUAAUCAGAAAGCCACGGCUAACUACGUG
rnacentral:rRNA from 1 species